CGUGUGGCCACUUUUAUCACCCGAAAUGCGUAGCCAAGCUGCUCCAGAAAAAUGAUAAGACCGAUCGACAGAAGCUUCAAGAAAAAAUUGUUGCAGGGUAACCGUUUAUAUUUCCAGCUCACAAGUGUGCCAUCUGUAAGCGAACCGAAAACGAAAAAGUCGAAGAUUUGCAGUUUGCAGUUUGUUGAUGCAGAGGUUGAAGGGUUUUGUCCCAAUUCAAUAGAAAUGUUAUGUACAAAGAUCUGAUACGCUGACUACGUGAGUGAUAUUAAUUUUUAUAAUUGGCAUGUGGGACUUCUUGAUUACAGUUAUGAGAUGCAUGGACGUGUGAUCUUGGUCGUGUCUCCGAGAGCUUAACCAUCUGUAUAUGGUGUGAAUGUUUUGGCGCGUACUUUUGCAGCAUGGUUCGGGUAAUAACAGGUCUGAACCGAAAGAUCUGAGAAACCGUUGGAAUGGGAACAGAUGCUCGCAACUAGAAUCAUGAUCUGAUUAGAUGACACUGACUGUCUCCUGCAGUCAACUCAGCCACAAGAUAUUGUUUCUCAGGCGAGGCAGAGGCUGUAAAUUCUUCUAGAAAGCUUGGCGGCAGCCCUUCAGUUAUUUGUAUGUUACCAUAGAUUAGUGUAUGAGGACAAUGAAGGAGACAUGUGCUUGCUGGUGGUGAAUAGAGAUUUUUUUUUCCUA